rnacentral:lncRNA from 1 species
CGCCCCUUUCCUGGCUGCCUACACAGAAAGCAGCCAUGGGAGACUUGCCGAGGACUUUGUCCACCAAGUGAUGAAAGCAUGCAAAUGCCUCCGAAUCAAAGAUGAGGAAAACAAAAGCUCAGAAACUAUCUUGGAGUCAGCAAGUAAGAAGGAGCUUAGAAAGGCUUAACAUUUUCCAUGCUUCUGCCUGGCUUCAGAGCCCAUGCACUCUGCCUUACCACGGCAGGUGAAAGAUGGCCCCAAAUUCUUAGGUACAUCUCCUGCCAAAAGACCCCUCCUAUGGGUUCUGUGACUACUUCAAUGAAAAGAAUAGGGCAGAAGAGAUGAUGAGAACUUAACAUCUGGCAGUGUCCAUUUCCUGUCUUUUGAAACUUUCUGUUAAAGGCCUGAGCCACGUAUGAAGUGUGAAUCUUCACACCAUGCAAGAGAAGCCACAUGUUAUUGCUCUGGUCAACAAUCCCAGCUGACCCAACCAGAUAGUGUAUCAGGCAUAUGAGUAAAGCAUUCUUAGAUUCUUCAGUCCAGCCCUUCACCAGCAGAACACCAUUCAGCAACCCUUGUCGGCAUCAUGUGGGACAGAAGAACCACCCAGCUGAGCCUUAUCCAAAUUCCUGACCACAAAAUCAUAAGCCCUGAGAGAGCAAGACCAGCCCCUUCUUUUCUUCCACCUCCUCAUCUACUCAACAUGUAUCUUCAUUCUCAAGACGAUGAGGAUGAAGACCUUUAUGAUGCUCCACUCCCAGUUAAUAAAUAGUGAUGAAAUUGAGACCUCGCAGUUAAAUGUUUAAGUCAGGAUGAACUACUUUUCCAGGGAUGGUGAAGCCGGAGCUCUGGAUGGCACUCCUGGAUCUCCUAAAUCUUGAUUCCGUGCUCUUUUCUCCCCACUUGGCUCCACUGUUUUGGCAGAGUCCCUUAAGAUGGACCUGAUUGGAUGAUGUGGAACUAGCCAUGCAGAAAGAACAGAGGGUGGGAAAACAAAUGAGGUCAGAGAGUCCUCAUAUUAGUCGGUUCUUGCACUGCUAUAAAGAACUAUCUGAGGCUGGAUAAUUUAUGAAGAAAAGAGGUUUACUUGACUCACGGUUCCACAGGCUGUACAGGAGGCAUAGCUGGGGAGUCCUCAGGAAACUUAACAAUCAUAGCAGAAGACAAAAAAGAAGUAAGCAUGUCUUCACAUAGCCAGCAAGAGAGAGAGACAGAGACCAAAGCAGGAGGUGCUAUACACUUUAAAACAACCAGAUCUCAUGAGAACUCUUUCAGGAGAACAGCAAGGGGAAAGUUUGCCUCCAUGAUUCAAUCACCUCCCACCAGGCCUUUCCUCUAAUACUGGGAAUUACAAUUGAACAUGAGAUUUGAGUGAGGACAAAGAGCCAACCAUAUCAGUCCUCUUCAGUUGUUGGUACCUAUGUGGGGAGAAGGAGCUGUGUAGAGUGGGUGUGACUAAGUCGGUCAGAACUGGGAAGCAUGGCAGACUAGGCUGUCCUGCAACCGGAGGGUGGUUUCAGAAUCCAGAGCCUGGGAUAGCAUUCCCUGGACCCUCAGUCCAUACCUGCUAUCUACAGGCAGCUAGAGAAAACGUAAGAAUCAGCAUCGGUCACAGGUGACAUUGGGGCAGGGCACUGAGCUCCCUGCUCUCCACUGCGGCUGCAGUCUUUAAACUCCUUAUUCUAUCCAGCACAGACAGUUUGCAGACGAAGGUUUCUGCACCGGCAUCUCUGCUCAGAAGAGAUUUGCUGAUGUAACAAUUAUUUGCACUAUUUAUAUUCAAAUGUUCUUUUAAAAAAAUGCAGCCUCUAAAUUUACGGAUAGUAACUGUGUGCAAAUCAGGAAACUUAUCUCCUUUUUAUAGUCUAAAAUCAAAUUACACUUUACAUUUUUCUCACUUGCAGAAUAUUAGAUUGUGAUGCCUAAAUGACUUGUGUUUAUGAAAAAGGUGAAUUUUAAGAACAAAUUUUAAAACUGCAUAAGCAGUUUAAUGGGUGUUUUUAGAAAGUGAGAAUGAUCAGCUGGUAAGCAUUUAUUAUAUAUUAAACUGGAAGUUAUAUCGUCGCAUCCGUUAGCACUGAAUUCUGAAAAUCAUCAUGGCCCAGGUUUGUGUUUAUGAAAUGAUGGACCACAGGACUGUUAAAUAAAGUUGUAAAAAAAAA